GACGAACGCUGGCGGCGUGCUUAACACAUGCAAGUCGAACGGAAAGGCCCUGCUUUUGUGGGGUGCUCGAGUGGCGAACGGGUGAGUAACACGUGAGUAACCUGCCCUUGACUUUGGGAUAACUUCAGGAAACUGGGGCUAAUACCGGAUAGGAGCUCCUGCUGCAUGGUGGGGGUUGGAAAGUUUCGGCGGUUGGGGAUGGACUCGCGGCUUAUCAGCUUGUUGGUGGGGUAGUGGCUUACCAAGGCUUUGAUGGGUAGCCGGCCUGGGAGGGUGACCGGCCAAAUUGGGACUGAGAUACGGCCCAGACUCCUACGGGAGGCAGCAGUGGGGAAUAUUGCACAAUGGGCGGAAGCCUGAUGCAGCAACGCCGCGUGCGGGAUGACGGCCUUCGGGUUGUAAACCGCUUUCGCCUGUGACGAAGCGUGAGUGACGGUAAUGGGUAAAGAAGCACCGGCUAACUACGUG
rnacentral:rRNA from 1 species